rnacentral:lncRNA from 1 species
CUGAAAAUAAAAUAGGUGGGACUACUAUGCUAAUGAAUCAAAAGCAUUUUUUUGUACUGAAAAUAAUAUGUUGUUGUAAAUUAGGUCUCUAGAGCUUAUAGACGAUUUUAUUUUUUGAAAAACGUUGAACUGUUUAGUUACAAAAGUUAAUGCACUUGUUUUACCUUGUUCAUAAGAAUAAUGGAACUGUGAUUGGUAGACUUAGUUUUAUUUGUCCAAAAACGUUCUUUCACAUUUUGAGUUUACGGAGUGUAAUUCAUG